AGACCCGAAACCCGGUGAUCUAGCCAUGGGCAGGUUGAAGGUUGGGUAACACUAACUGGAGGACCGAACCGACUAAUGUUGAAAAAUUAGCGGAUGACCUGUGGCUGGGGGUGAAAGGCCAAUCAAACCGGGAGAUAGCUGGUUCUCCCCGAAAGCUAUUUAGGUAGCGCCUCGUGAAUUCAUCUCCGGGGGUAGAGCACUGUUUCGGCUAGGGGGCCAUCCCGGCUUACCAACCCGAUGCAAACUGCGAAUACCGGAGAAUGUUAUCACGGGAGACACACGGCGGGUGCUAACGUCCGUCGUGAAGAGGGAAACAACCCAGACCGCCAGCUAAGGUCCCAAAGUCAUGGUUAAGUGGGAAACGAUGUGGGAAGGCCCAGACAGCCAGGAUGUUGGCUUAGAAGCAGCCAUCAUUUAAAGAAAGCGUAAUAGCUCACUGGUCGAGUCGGCCUGCGCGGAAGAUGUAACGGGGCUAAACCAUGCACCGAAGCUGCGGCAGCGAACGUAUCACUUAAAGCGAUUCAGCGGGUUACGAUUGACGGAGCGAAGCGACGUCAAAGCGUAUACAAAGUCGAGUCGGUUUAAGGAUACGUUCGUUGGGUAGGGGAGCGUUCUGUAAGCCUGUGAAGGUGUGUCGUGAGGCAUGCUGGAGGUAUCAGAAGUGCGAAUGCUGACAUAAGUAACGAUAAAGCGGGUGAAAAGCCCGCUCGCCGGAAGACCAAGGGUUCCUGUCCAACGUUAAUCGGGGCAGGGUGAGUCGACCCCUAAGGCGAGGCCGAAAGGCGUAGUCGAUGGGAAACGGGUUAAUAUUCCCGUACUUGGUGUUACUGCGAAGGGGGGACGGAGAAGGCUAUGUUGGCCGGGCGACGGUUGUCCCGGUUUAAGCGUGUAGGUGUGUGUUCCAGGUAAAUCCGGUUCACUUUAACACUGAGGCGUGAUGACGAGGCACUACGGUGCUGAAGCAA
rnacentral:rRNA from 1 species